rnacentral:tRNA from 1 species
GCGACACUAGCUCAGUUGGUAGAGCGCAACCUUGCCAAGGUUGAGGUCACGCCUUUUUUGUU